GUGUGUGUGUGUAACACUGUGUCUGUGUGUCAGGGUGCGACACUGGCUUCUGGACCAAGACCACCUUACUUCCUCAGUCUACGGCUAAGUUACUAAAUAGGAUGCUUUGUUAUCCAAACUGUCAGGGAUAGACUGGGUUGCAUCAGCUAAUACCUAUUUUCCCCAUCUCUUUUAGAAACCCUUUCCUCCCCACCUCCUCACUGUGGAUUUUGCUCAAGGCAAAAUGCAGUAGCAGCGUUGAAAGAAGGCGUGAGUCAGAACCUUCUGGAAUCAAAUGGCCUUCCACCCACAGGCCAUGCCGUUGGAACCUAGGCAAAUUCUCUGACCCUGUUGUGGGUUCCAUGCCCCUCAUUUGUAAAACGUGAAAGCUGAGAAAAUAGGCAGGUCCUGCUGCUCAAAUGAGAAAACACGCUCAAAGCCCACGGCACAUUGUCCGGGACACAAUAAGCCUUAAAAGCCAAGUGCAAUUAUUAUCAUUAUACUCCUCAUCAUUUUUCAAAAAUGGUUUUAAGUGACACUGGUGAAAGAACAAAAUUUCUUUGAGCAUUUGCUACAAUUAUUCUACAUCCUUAAAAUAAUUCCCUUCUACUCUCAGAAAGCAGAGUUAAAAAUAACUCAAAUGGCUAUUAUAAUCACCACCAGACUUUUGUGAAUAGCUAUAACCACUAAUAAAACUCAAGUUACUAAAAGGCAAACUCAAGCUACAUCUCCUUAGAGCACAGAAAAUUUUCACUAAGGUUUGGGAAGGGAGGAAUAGGGGAAGAGUGACAGACUGAUUACAUUGUAAUCACAUGGAAGUACAUGUGUGGAAAUGUAACAGUGAAGUCUCCCCUCUA